rnacentral:rRNA from 1 species
GUUUAGCGGCGGGCCCUUCCUAACACAUGCAAGUCGGAGCGAGAAAGGGACCUUCGGUUCCUGAGUACAAGCGGCGGACGGGUGAGUAAUACGUAGGUAAACCUGGCCUCUUUCAGUGGGGGACAACGGUCCGAAAGGAACCGCUAAUACCCGCAUCCGUUUCCUCGGGCUCCGGCCUGGGGGAGGAAAGGCUGGGCAACUGGCGCUGAAUAAUGAAGAGGGGCCUGCGUCGCAUCAGCUAGUUGGUGGGGUAAUGGCUCACCAAGGCGAAGACGCGUAGCUGGUCUGAGAGGAUGAUCAGCCACACUGGGGACUGAGACACGGCCCAGACUCCUAACGGGAGGGCAGCAGUGGGGAAUAUUGGACAAUGGGCGAGAAAGCCUGAUCCAGCCACGCCCGCGUGAGGUGAUGAAGGCCUUCCGGGUCGUAAAAGCUCUGUUGGGGAGGGACGAACGUCCGGUUGUAGAAAACCGGGGUGACGGUACCUCCUUGAGCAAGCACCGGCUAACUUCGUGCCAGCAGCCCGCGGUAAUACAGAGGGUGCAAGCGUUGGUUCGGAAUUAUUGGGCCGUAAAGGCGCGUGGUAGGCGGUUUUAGUAAGUCAGACGUUGAAAGGCCCUCGGCUUUAAUCCGAGGGAAGUGCAUCUGAUACUGCUUUUACUUGAGUGUGGGUGCGGGGAUGGGGAUGGCGGAAAUUCCCGGUUGUAGAAGGUGAAAUUCGUAGAUAAUAUCGGGAGGAACACCUGUGGCGGAAGGCCGGCCAAUCUGGAAGACAACUGACGCUGAGACGCGAAAGAAAGCGUGGGGAGCAAACAGGAUUAGAUUACCCUGGUAGUCCACGCCGUAAAACGAUGAGUGCUAGAUGUUGCGGGUAUUGACCCCCGCAGUGUCAAAGCUAACGCGGUUAAGCACUCCGCCUGGGGAGUACGGUCGCAAGAUUUAAAAACUCAAAGGAAUCGACGGGGGCCCGCAACAAGGCGGUGGAGCAUGUUGGGUUUAAUUCGACGCAAACGCGCAAGAACCUUACCUGGGUUUGAACUGCAGCAGACCGGCACAGAAAAUGUGCCCUUUCUUUCGGAACUGCUGUGGAGGUGCCUGCAUGGCUGUCGUCAGCCUCGUUGUCGUGAGAUAUUGGGUUAAGUCCCGCAACUGAGCGCAACCCCUGCCAAUAGUUGCCAGCGAGUUAAUGUCGGGAACUCUAUUGGGACUGCCGGUGUUUAAAACCGGAGGAAAGGGUGGGGAUGACGUCAAGUCCUCAUGGCCCUUAUGUCCAGGGCUACACACGUGCUACAAUGGUUCGGUACAAAGGGUUUUUGCCAAUCCGAGAGGUGGAGCUAAAUCUCAAAAAAACCGAUCUCAGUUCAGAUUGCAGUCUGCAACUCGACUGCAUGAAGUCGGAAUCGCUAGUAAUUCGCGGAUCAGCAUGGCCGCGGUGAAAUACGUUCACGGGCCUUGUACACACCGCCCGUCACGCCAUGGGAGUCAGUUGCUCCAGAAGUGCCUGAGCUAACCGAAAGGAGGCAGGGGUACCAAGGAGUGGUUGGUAACUGGGGCG